CAACUACCCCCUCUGUCCCAAAUUUCUUGUCUUAGAUUUUUCUAGAUACGGAUGUAUCUAAUACUAAAAUGUGACUUGAUACAUCCGUAUCUAGACAAAUCUAAGACAAGAAUUUUGGGACGGAGGGAGUACUUU
rnacentral:pre_miRNA from 1 species